rnacentral:ncRNA from 2 species
GCUGUGAGGAAAUAAAUCGGUUCUAGCGAGGAGCAGUCGCUAGAGGUAACGGGGAAAGUUCGGUGUAAAUCCGGCGCUGUCCCGCAGCUGUAAUGAGACUGAUGUCUUUGAGUCAGAAUGCCCGCCGAUGUUAAUUGAACUGU